ACGGGACACGAACCCGCACCGAAGGCCCCAAAACCCCUUGUACUACCACUAUACUACCUCCUAGUAAAGUCAGC
rnacentral:tRNA from 1 species